rnacentral:misc_RNA from 1 species
GAAAUGCGAUAAGUAAUGUGAAUUGCAGAAUUCAGUGAAUCAUCGAAUCUUUGAACGCACCUUGCGCUCCUUGGUAUUCCUUGGAACAUGCCUGUUUGAGUAUCAUGAAAUCUUCAAAGUAAAUCUUUUGUUAACUCAAUUGGUUUCUACUUUGGUAUUGGAGGUCUUUGCAGCUUCACACCUGCUCCUCUUUGUUCAUUAGCUGGAUCUCAGUGUUAUGCUUGGUUCCACUCGGCGUGAUAAGUUAUCUAUCGCUGAGGACACUGUAAAAGGUGGCCAAGGUAAAUGCAGAUGAACCGCUUCUAAUAGUCCAUUGACUUGGACAAUACUUUUAUGAUCUGAUCUCAAACCAGGUAGGACUACCCGCUGAACUUAAGC